UAAGUGCCGUCGGCAUUCGUUUGUCAAAAAGCGCAAGUGUUGAGAAAUUUCCAAGAAAAUUAAAGGGAAAUGAACGAAUACACAUUUCUUUCUCGAUUGCGUCGGCCGUUGGUAGCAUUUUGUAAUUUGUUUAUCGUUUGUGGAGUGGCAGUGGCAGUGGAGUGGCACUGGAAACAAAGACCGGCCAUUGUAUUCGGAUGAGGAUACCAACCCUUAAGGGUUGCCACAGCCACAGCCCAGCCGCCAGCGAAAGAUGACGCCGAUCUCAAGAAGUCAAGCGUGACGACCAGGCUAAAUACAGAACACAAAACACAGAAGCAGCAGCAGCAGCGCGCGGCUACCGAAUGCGUUUUGAAUUUCCGCUGGGAGCCGUAAGGACAACGGAACGGAGACGAAAAUCCAUGGACAAAUAUUGACCGGACUAGGGCCCAGGGCCAAAGGCUGUUCGAGGCAUCUCCAUUUCGUUUCAGAGUUUAUGAUUUUUUAAGCUGUUUGCCAGAUCUCUUCACAUUUUUGUAGCUGUUUGCCUUUCAUUAACAGAAGCUGCUGCUGCUGCUACUCAGCCUCGACUCGAGAUCGGAUUGGAUCGGAUCGGAUCAGGCAACGACUUUGAGGGGCAUGAGUGUUUGCCUUGAUUAAGUCGCUGACUAGUGGAAAGCCGAGAAGCCGGGAGGGGAGCCGGAAAGCCUGAAAGAGUCCUCAUUAGAAAUAAAGUAGUUUGCUGCUGCUCCUGGUCGCUGCUGCUGCUGUUCUAAAUGAUCAGCGGCUUAACUUGAAAUUAAAUAAACAAAAUAUCUUUUAGCGUUCGAAGGU